CCUACGGGUGGCUGCAGUGGGGAAUAUUGCACAAUGGGGGAAACCCUGAUGCAGCAACGCCGCGUGAAGGAAGACGGUUUUCGGAUUGUAAACUUCUAUCAGUAGGGAAGAAAGACGGUACCUGACUAAGAAGCCCCGGCUAACUACGUGCCAGAAGCCGCGGUAAUACGUAGGGGGCAAGCGUUAGCCGGAUUUACUGGGAGUAAAGGGAGCGUAGACGGGUGUGCAAGGCUGAAGUGAAUGCCCAGGGCUCAACCCUGGGACUGCUGUGGAAACUGUGGAGCUAGAGUGCUGGAGAGGUAAGUGGAAUGCCUAGUGUAGCGGUGAAAUGCGUAGAUAUUAGGAGGAACACCAGUGGCGAAGGCGGCUUACUGGACAGUAACUGACGUUGAGGCUCGAAAGCGUGGGGAGCAAACAGGAUUAGAUACCCUGGUAGUC
rnacentral:rRNA from 1 species